AGGCCAUGGUGAGGAACUCUUCUCAGCAGCUCCUUGUAUCGUUCCCAUGACUCGUAUAAAGAUUCCCCCUCUUGUUGGAAAAAUGUAGUGAUAUCAUUCCUCAUUUU
rfam:Nelumbo nucifera unplaced genomic scaffold scaffold00180, whole genome shotgun sequence